AGAGUUUGAUCAUGGCUCAGAAUAAACGCUGGCGGCGUGCCUAACACAUGCAAGUCGAACGAGAAAGGCCGCAAGGCUGAGUACAGUGGCGCACGGGUGAGUAACACGUAGGAAUCUACCCCUUUGUGAAGGAUACCUUGGAGAAAUCCAGGCUAAUACUGCAUAAGCCCAGAAAUGGGGAAAGGUGGCCUCAAGCUACCGCGGAGGGAUGAGCCUGCGUCCUAUUAGUUAGUUGGCAGGGUAAUGGCCUACCAAGACUGAGAUGGGUAGCCGGCCUGAGAGGGUGUCCGGCCACACUGGAACUGAAACACGGUCCAGACUCCUACGGGAGGCAGCAGUGGGGAAUAUUGCACAAUGGGCGAAAGCUUGAUGCAGCGACGCCGCGUGGAGGAUGAAGGUCUUCGGAUUGUAAACUCCUGUUAAGCGGGAAGAAAGACUAGCAUCUAAUACAUGCUGGGGAUGACGGUACCGCUAGAGAAAGCACCGGCAAACUUCGUGCCAGCAGCCGCGGUAAUACGAAGGGUGCAAGCGUUAUUCGGAAUGACUGGGCGUAAAGAGCGCGGAGGCGGUCUUUUAAGUCAUCUGUUAAAGCGCUCGGCUUAACCGAGCAUAUGCGGGUGAAACUGGAAGGCUAGAGUUCAGGAGAGAAAGGUAGAAUUCUCGGAGUAGCGGUAAAAUGCGUAGAUCUCGAGAGGAAUACCGGUUGCGAAGGCGGCCUUUUGGCCUGUAACUGACGCUCAAGCGCGAAAGCGUGGGGAGCAAACAGGAUUAGA
rnacentral:rRNA from 1 species